GACCUCGGAUCAGGUAGGAGUACCCGCUGAACUUAAGCAUAUAGAAUUAAAUACC
rnacentral:rRNA from 1 species